GCAUGCAGUCGAGCGGUAAGGCCCCUUCGGGGGUACACGAGCGGCGCAAGGGAGAGUAACGCGUAGAUACGUGCCCUUCGGUGCGGGAUAGCCACGGGAAACUGUGGGUAAUACUGCAUAACGUCCCCGGACCAAAGAUUUAUCGCCGGGGGAGCGGUCUGCGUCCUAUUAGGUUGUUGGUGGGGUAAUGGCCUACCAAGCCAAAGAUGGGUACCGGGUGUGAGAGCAUGGCCCGGCUCACUGGGACUGAGACACUGCCCAGACACCUACGGGUGGCUGCAGUCGAGAAUCUUCCGCAAUGGACGAAAGUCUGACGGAGCGACGCCGCGUGCGGGAUGAAGGCCUUCGGGUUGUAAACCGCUGUCAGAGGGGAGCAAAGGCAACUUGAGCGAUCCUCAGAGGAAGACCGGGCUAAGUUCGUGCCAGCAGCCGCGGUAACACGAACCGGUCGAACGUUAUUCGGAAUCACUGGGCUUAAAGAGUCCGUAGGCGGAUUGGUAAGUCGGGUGUGAAAUCCCACGGCUCAACCGUGGAACUGCGCCCGAUACUGCCCGUCUUGAGGGAGACAGAGGCGAGCGGAACAGAUGGUGGAGCGGUGAAAUGCGUUGAUAUCAUCUGGAACACCGGUGGCGAAAGCGGCUCACUGGGUCUCUUCUGACGCUGANGGACGAAAGCUAGGGUAGCGAACGGGNNUAGAUACCCCGGUAGUCCUAGCUGUAAACGAUGAGCACUGGGUCGAGGGANCUUNCACNUUUUCUCGGNCGU
rnacentral:rRNA from 1 species